CCAGCUCCUGUUGUGAAAUGUUGGGUUAAGUCCCGCAACGAGCGCAACCCUUAUCCUUGUUUGCCAGCACUUCGGGUGGGAACUCCAGGGAGACUGCCGGUGAUAAACCGGAGGAAGGUGGGGACGACGUCAAGUCAUCAUGGCCCUUACGAGUAGGGCUACACACGUGCUACAAUGGCGCAUACAGAGGGCGGCCAACUUGCGAAAGUGAGCGAAUCCCAAAAAGUGCGUCGUAGUCCGGAUUGGAGUCUGCAACUCGACUCCAUGAAGUCGGAAUCGCUAGUAAUCGUGGAUCAGAAUGCCACGGUGAAUACGUUCCCGGGCCUUGUACACACCGCCCGUCACACCAUGGGAGUGGGCUGCAAAAGAAGUGGGUAGUUUAACCUUCGGGAGGACGCUCACCACUUUGUGGUUCAUGACUGGGGUGAAGUCGUAACAAGGUAACCG
rnacentral:rRNA from 1 species